rnacentral:lncRNA from 1 species
UAUUAAUAUGAUAUAUUAUAUUAUAAUAUAUUAGUAUAUUAAUAAUAUAAUAUAUAAUAAUAUUUAUAUAAUAAAAGAUAUUAUGAAAAAUAUAGAUAGAUCAUAACAUCUUAUCCAGAAAAAUAGUACUAUAAAAGAAUAUGGGUAACAGAUUCUCAAAUAUUUUUCAAUGCAUAAAAAGAUAUAGAUAAAUUAUUUUUCUGUCUAAAUGGUAUUUGAAAAAUACUUAUCCAAAAAAAUAUAAUUUUUUAGAUAAAUCUUUUACCUUCAAAAGAACGGACAUCCAACAAGUUUGCUAUCUUUAAAUUAGUAUAAAAUACAGCUCAGAAUAAUCCUCCACAUGAGAUCCUUGAAACCAUGAAAACAUAGAAUAGCAUGACAAUGGAGAGCUACAGGAAUACUACAUAAGUUUCUUUUGCAUCAAUCAUCCCCCCUCAAGGAGAUUGGGAGAAAUCCACUAUGGUGCCGUCGGCAAAUUAAGCAGGACCUCCGUCAACAGGUCUACCAACUUUAUAUUUCCUGAGCGUAGUUCUGAAUAAGCCUCCAAAUGCGAUCCUUAAAAUCAUGAAAUCAUAUAACAACCACAAAGAGUAGCAGGGAUGCUACAUAAGCUUCUAUUGCAUUAAUCAUCCCCCUCAUGUAGAUUGCGAGAAACCCACAUUGGACUCCACUGGAACAACCAUGUAUCUUUUAAGGAAGUCACUUAGUCACAAGGAUUCAACAAUGAUGAUAUCUCCUAACACCCUACUUAAGAAGAUAUCCUCUAACAAUGGACCCAUCCAAGAACAAAUAUAUAUCUGUAGAAUAGAAAUAUAGCCAUUAUCAGCUAUCAUAUAUUAAAAAAUACAAGACAACCCAAGCAUGUUAAAAAGAGAGAGUUUUGAAGCUUAAGCAUAUCCAUAUAAAUUAUGCUCUUUUUCUGAGAAUUUGAAUCGUGUCUUUCUUUGACUAAAAUACCCACAAUCUUCUCCAGUUAUUAUAUCAUUUUUUCAAGUCAAAAUCUUCCUUCUAUUAUAAUAGUAACAGAUCUUGCUUAAUAUACCCCCCUCCCCUUCUCUUUGACUCUCUCCCUCCUCUUAACUCUCCAUCAUUCAUCAUAUUUCCUUUUCAUUUCUACAUUUUUUUUUUUUUUGUUAAUUAACAGUCUCCCACUACCAUGUUCGAUAACUCAUCUUUUUUUCCUCUCUCUUUUUGAGAACCAAGAGCCUAAGACAGAUUGAAACUUGACCGAAAACCAUAGU